UAGAAUUCCACGUGUAGCGGUGAAAUGCGUAGAGAUGUGGAGGAAUACCGGUGGCGAAGGCGGCCUUCUGGACAGAUACUGACGCUGAGAUGCGAAAGCGUGGGGAGCAAACAGGAUUAGAUACCCUGGUAGUCCACGCUGUAAACGAUGUCGAUUUGGAGUUUGUUGCCUAGAGUGAUGGGCUCCGAAGCUAACGCGAUAAAUCGACCGCCUGGGGAGUACGGCCGCAAGGUUAAAACUCAAAUGAAUUGACGGGGGCCCGCACAAGCGGUGGAGCAUGUGGUUUAAUUCGAUGCAACGCGAAGAACCUUACCUGGUCUUGACAUCCACAGAAUCUUGCAGAGAUGCGAGAGUGCCUUCGGGAACUGUGAGACAGGUGCUGCAUGGCUGUCGUCAGCUCGUGUUGUGAAAUGUUGGGUUAAGUCCCGCAACGAGCGCAACCCUUAUCCUUUGUUGCCAUCGGUUAGGCCGGGAACUCAAAGGAGACUGCCGUUGAUAAAGCGGAGGAAGGUGGGGACGACGUCAAGUCAUCAUGGCCCUUACGACCAGGGCUACACACGUGCUACAAUGGCGUAUACAAAGGGAGGCGACCUCGCGAGAGCAAGCGGACCUCAUAAAGUACGUCUAAGUCCGGAUUGGAGUCUGCAACUCGACUCCAUGAAGUCGGAAUCGCUAGUAAUCGUGAAUCAGAAUGU
rnacentral:rRNA from 1 species